UUCUUCGGAGAGUUUGAUCCUGGCUCAGGAUGAACGCUGGCGGCGUGCCUAAUACAUGCAAGUCGAGCGAACUGAUUAGAAGCUUGCUUCUAUGACG
rnacentral:rRNA from 2 species